AAAGGAAUGUGACGAGUUUGUCUAACUAAUUUGUUUACUAAUGUGAGCCUAAGACUAAACUUUGAUCUACCACAGGUGCUUAAUUGCUUUCUACUGGGGAGGUCUGCUAUGUCAAUUACCCUCUAGUGGUGUGGACUCAAGCCUUUGUUAAUUAAUCUUUACUGAACAAAUGCGAGUCUCACUGGCUAGCUGGUCGCGGCGGCUGUCACAACUGUUUACAGCACUCUGCUUGGAGUCUCUAAGAGGCCAGGAUGCUCAGCCGGACUGACAAAGCAGAAUAUCUGUCUGUCAGUGUAUUUUAUUGAUCCCUCGUUGGGUCAGGGUAUGCAGGAUGGACCUCUGCAGCUGUUGCCCCUGUGUAAGGAUUGCUGAGAAUGGAGCCCAGUGGACCCCUGGAAAACGAAGGUGAAGAGGAGCAGGCAGUCAAGUCAGUAAAACAAUCCAGGAGAUAAUCAACUAAGAGCUGGACACCAUUUUGGGUCUAAUAAGAAACAUUUUACAACCUGUUCUCUCUCUGAAGUCUGCUACCUGACAGCUUCCUCUGCACAAUGAAACUUCUUCCCCAAAAUUCUUUAUCUUAACCUGAACAUUCCUUUCCAUUAAUCCCAGGUCUUCAGAUUAACUCAACCAACUGUCAAACAGAAAAUGUUUAAAUUUUCCUGUAGUCUGGAAACCCCUGCUUUGAAAUAUCCUGGCUUUCUUAAAGAAACCAAUGUAUUUCUUGCAUGUAUUUGAUUUAUGUCUCAGCCUCCCUAAAAUAUGUAAAACCAAGCUAUACCCUGAUCAUCUUGGGCACAUGUUCUCAGACCUCCUGAGGGCUUUGUCAUAGGCCAUGGUCACUCAUAUUUGGCUCAAAAUAAACCUCUAAAAAU
rnacentral:lncRNA from 1 species